rnacentral:rRNA from 1 species
UACGUAGGGUGCAAGCGUUAAUCGGAAUUACUGGGCGUAAAGCGUGCGCAGGCGGUUGUGCAAGACAGAUGUGAAAUCCCCCGGGCUUAACCUGGGAAUUGCAUUUGUGACUGCACGGCUAGAGUGUGUCAGAGGGGGGUAGAAUUCCACGUGUAGCAGUGAAAUGCGUAGAUAUGUGGAGGAAUACCGAUGGCGAAGGCAGCCCCCUGGGAUAACACUGACGCUCA